ensembl:snoRNA SNORD114-22 small nucleolar RNA, C/D box 114-22
UGGAUCGAUGAUGACUACCGGUGGCAUAUGAGUCAUACGUGAUGAAUGCGUGUCUGGAACUCUGAGGUCCGU